rnacentral:lncRNA from 1 species
CAUUAUCGGUCACUGGCAAGGCCGGCUCAGUUGCAUUCGGCCCGUAGCAAUAAAAACCCUUAGGUACCCCUUGCAAGCAGUGCACAUAACUAGAUGCAAUUCAUUAUCUUAUUUCAUAUGGGUAUCAAAAUUAUAUAGCAAUGUAACCCAAUUCAUCUUGCAUGCAUAAUAAAUUCUGCAUAAGCUCAAUACAUGCAUAAUCA